rnacentral:lncRNA from 1 species
UCUAAGAAGCAUAUACAAGAAAUUUCGAAUGCGUUUAUUUUCCUUUUUAUCCAAUUUAAGUAUUAAAAGGCUGAAUUAUGAAUCCCCUAGUCUACCUAGAGGAAAAGGGUCCAGUAAAAUAUAUAGUUUGAAUCUUCCACUGCAUGUGAUAGACUGUACUUAUCAUGGUGUCAGCAGUUUUGUCCCCAUAGUAAAUUUUUUCUUCUUUUAUUUCUUUUUUUCACCUUUUCUUCUUUGAUUUCUAUAUUGUAUGUUUCAUAAUCUUCAGAGAUUGGAUAAAAAGGCCCUUGGUUUGCCCCCA